GUUCAUUACUUCCUCAUAACGUGGUUUUCAUAGAUAUCUUGUCAAGUGGCAUGGUCCUUCUAAUACCGAUGCUACUUGGAUUACCAAAAAGGUUAAACUUUGGAUCUUUUGUUUUUUUGUUGGAUUCUUAUCUGUAGUUCAACUCUAUGGAGUUGAGUUCUUUUCAACCAAGAGGGAAUGAUGCAUGAUCUUCUAAUAAGGAUUUUAGAUCUACUUAUUUUCAGAAGAAUUUUAGAAAGUAGUAUUUUAGUUUGUGUAGUAUUCCUAAUUAGUUUGUUU
rnacentral:misc_RNA from 1 species